GGGCUGUAGCUCAGUUGGGAGAGCGCCUGCUUUGCAAGCAGGAGGUCGUCGGUUCGAUCCCGAUCAGCUCC
rnacentral:tRNA from 1 species